UGGCUGAGCGGUAAAGCGCUUGGCUUCUGAACCAGGGGUCCCGGGUUCGAAUCCUGG
rfam:Biomphalaria glabrata isolate BB02 unplaced genomic scaffold LGTN_random_Scaffold6854, whole genome shotgun sequence.